CUGGUAGCUCGUCGGGCUCAUAACCCGAAGGUCGUUGGUUCAAAUCCAGCCCCCGCAACCA
rnacentral:tRNA from 1 species